rnacentral:misc_RNA from 1 species
AACUUUUAGCAACGUAUCUCUUGGUUCUGGCAUCGAUUAAGAACGCAGCGAAAUGCGAUAAGUAAUGCGAAUUGCAGAAUUCAGUGAGUCAUCGAAUCUUUGAACGCACAUUGCGCCCUGUGGUAUUCCGCAGGGCAUGCCUGUUCGAGCGUCAUUUCAACCCUCAAGCUCUGCUUGGUGUUGGGCCCUGCCCGCUGCGGCCGGCCCUAAAGACAGUGGCGGUGCCGCCUGGCCCUGAGCGUAGUACAUCUCUCGCUCCAGUGCCCGGUGGUAGCCUGCCAGAACCCCAACUCUCGUGGUUGACCUCGGAUCAGGUAGGGAUACCCGCUGAACUUAAGCAUAUCAAUAAGCGGAGGCU